ACUAAUCUGGCAGAUAAAUGCAAUAGGCUUAGAAUCUAUCUAUGGGAGACAAUCUCGAUUAGUA
rnacentral:tRNA from 1 species